rnacentral:rRNA from 1 species
AACGGCGAGUGAAGCGGCAAGAGCUCAAAUUUGAAAUCUGGCCUCCUCCGGGGGUCCGAGUUGUAAUUUGUAGAGGAUGCUUCGGGUGUGGCCGCCGUCUAAGUUCCUUGGAACAGGACGUCGGAGAGGGUGAGAAUCCCGUCUUGGGCGGCCGGUCCGCGCCCGUGUGAAGCUCCUUCGACGAGUCGAGUUGUUUGGGAAUGCAGCUCUAAGCGGGUGGUAAAUUUCAUCUAAAGCUAAAUACUGGUCGGAGACCGAUAGCGCACAAGUAGAGUGAUCGAAAGGUUAAAAGCACCUUGAAAAGGGAGUUAAACAGCACGUGAAAUUGUUGAAAGGGAAGCGCUUGCGGCCAGACUCGGGGGCGGGGUUCAGCGGGCGCUCGUCGCCCGUGCACUCCCCGUCUCCCGGGCCAGCAUCAGUUUCGACGGCCGGUCAAAGGCCCCCGGAAUGUGUCGUCUCUCGGGACGUCUUAUAGCCGGGGGUGCAAUGCGGCCCGUCGGGACUGAGGAACGCGCUCCGGCUCGGAUGCUGGCGUAAUGGCCGUAAGCGGCCCGUCUUGAAACACGGACCAAGGAGUCUAACAUCCACGCGAGUGUUCGGGUGUCAAACCCGUGCGCGCAGUGAAAGCGAACGGAGGUGGGAGCCCUAGGGCGCACCAUCGACCGAUCCUGAAGUCUUCGGAUGGAUUUGAGUAGGAGCGUGGCCGUUGGGACCCGAAAGAUGGUGAACUAUGCCUGAAUAGGGUGAAGCCAGAGGAAACUCUGGUGGAGGCUCGCAGCGGUUCUGACGUGCAAAUCGAUCGUCAAAUUU